rnacentral:rRNA from 1 species
UGGGGAAUAUUGGACAAUGGGCGCAAGCCUGAUCCAGCAAUGCCGCGUGUGUGAAGAAGGCCUGCGGGUUGUAAAGCACUUUAAGCAGGAAAGAAGGGUGGGUUGUUAAUACCAGCUCACAUUGACGUUACCUGCAGAAUAAGCACCGGCUAACUCCGUGCCAGCAGCCGCGGUAAUACGGAGGGUGCGAGCGUUAAUCGGAAUUACUGGGCGUAAAGCGCGCGUAGGCGGUUUGUUAAGUCUUUUGUGAAAGCCCUGGGCUUAACCUGGGAACGGCACGGGAUACUGGCAAGCUAGAGUGUGGUAGAGGGUAGCGGAAUUUCCGGUGUAGCAGUGAAAUGCGUAGAGAUCGGAAGGAACACCUGUGGCGAAGGCGGCUAUCUGGACCAACACUGACGCUGAGGUGCGAAAGCGUGGGGAGCAAACA